rnacentral:rRNA from 1 species
AGCCAAGUGAUCUAUCCAUGGCCAGGCUGAGGCGCGGGUAAAACCGCGUGGAGGGCCGAACCCACCGCAGUUGAAAAUGCGGGGGAUGAGCUGUGGAUAGGGGUGAAAGGCCAAUCAAACUUGGAGAUAGCUGGUUCUCCCCGAAACAUAUUUAGGUAUGGCCUUGGAUGUUCUUUGAGCCGGAGGUAGAGCACUGAAUGGGCUAGGGGUCCCACCGGAUUACCAACCCCAAUCAAACUCCGAAUGCCGGUUCUGUAUAGUCCAGGAGACAGACAGCGGGUGAUAACGUCCGUUGUCGAGAGGGAAACAACCCAGACCGCCGAUUAAGGUCCCAAAGUACUAGCUCAGUGGGAAAGGAUGUGGAAGCACUCCGACAACCAGGAGGUUGGCUUAGAAGCAGCCAUCCUUUAAAGAAAGCGUAAUAGCUCACUGGUCGAGUGAAUCCGCGCCG